rnacentral:rRNA from 1 species
AUUGAACGCUGGCGGAAUGCUUUACACAUGCAAGUCGAACGGCAGCACGGACUUCGGUCUGGUGGCGAGUGGCGAACGGGUGAGUAAUAUAUCGGAACGUAUCCAAUAAUGGGGGAUAACUAAUCGAAAGGUUGGCUAAUACCGCAUACGCCCUACGGGGGAAAGCUAGGGAUUUUCGGACCUGGCGUUAAUGGAGCGGCCGAUAUUUGAUUAGCUAGCUGGUGGGGUAAAGGCCCACCAAGGCGACGAUCAGUAGCUGGUUUGAGAGGACGACCAGCCACACUGGAACUGAGACACGGUCCAGACUCCUACGGGAGGCAGCAGUGGGGAAUUUUGGACAAUGGGCGCAAGCCUGAUCCAGCCAUUCCGCGUGAGUGAAGAAGGCCUUCGGGUUGUAAAGCUCUUUCGCAAGGGAAGAAAACUUAUCCUCUAACAUAGGAUGAGGUGACGGUACCCUGAUAAGAAGCCCCCGGGAUAUCUGUG